UUAGACUUGUCUUCUGUCACCGUAUACAUGUUCCAGUUGCACAGACUUACAUAACAUAAUAAACAACAUAUGAAUUUAUGAUAUUCUUUUAUGCCUGUGUGGAUUUACUAAUGACGUAUAUUCCCUAUGCAGGAUGCUCUCCCUUCUUCUCUUCAUGGUGUUGACACAUCCAGCAUGGCCACUUUCAAGCCCCUAGGGAGAUGUUACUGAAGAAAGGGUUGAAAAGAGAUACUCACCAUUGGCUCUCAUGAGCUACUGCAGGCUGGUUCCAGUGCACCACUGAGUGCUGAGUAGUAGAGCUUCAAACAUCCUUUGAA
rnacentral:lncRNA from 1 species